GUUUUUAUAGUUGAAUAACAACGGUGGUUUUUCGGAUCAUAGGUCCUAAUUUAAGCUUAGGUAAAAAUA
rnacentral:tRNA from 1 species